CUUGCUUCUCUGAUGUUAGCGGCGGACGGGUGAGUAACACGUGGAUAACCUACCUAUAAGACUGGGAUAACUUCGGGAAACCGGAGCUAAURCCGGAUAAUAUUUUGAACCGCAUGGUUCAAAAGUGAAAGACGGUCUUGCUGUCACUUAUAGAUGGAUCCGCGCUGCAUUAGCUAGUUGGUAAGGUAACGGCUUACCAAGGCAACGAUGCAUAGCCGACCUGAGAGGGUGAUCGGCCACACUGGAACUGAGACACGGUCCAGACUCCUACGGGAGGCAGCAGUAGGGAAUCUUCCGCAAUGGGCGAAAGCCUGACGGAGCAACGCCGCGUGAGUGAUGAAGGUCUUCGGAUCGUAAAACUCUGUUAUUAGGGAAGAACAUAUGUGUAAGUAACUGUGCACAUCUUGACGGUACCUAAUCAGAAAGCCACGGCUAACUACGUGCCAGCAGC
rnacentral:rRNA from 1 species